rnacentral:rRNA from 1 species
CACGGGUGAGUAACACGUAUCCAACCUGCCGUCUACUCUUGGACAGCCUUCUGAAAGGAAGAUUAAUACAAGAUGGCAUCAUGAGUCCGCAUGUUCACAUGAUUAAAGGUAUUCCGGUAGACGAUGGGGAUGCGUUCCAUUAGAUAGUAGGCGGGGUAACGGCCCACCAAGCCUUCGAUGGAUAGGGGUUCUGAGAGGAAGGUCCCCCACAUUGGAACUGAGACACGGUCCAA